rnacentral:rRNA from 1 species
GAUGACGCUGGCGGCGUGCCUACUACAUGCAAGUCGAGCGAGCGGCGGACGGGUGAGUAACAUCUGGGUAACCGCCUGAUGGAGGGGGGUAACUACUGGAAACGGUAGCUAAUACCGCAUACUAUCAGAUCUGCCAAGUUGGGAUUAGCUAGUAGGUGGGGUAAUGGCUCACAUAGGCUACGAUCCCUAGCUGGUCUGAGAGGAUGACCAGCCACACUGGAACUGAGACACGGUCCAGACCCCUACGGGAGGCAGCAGUGGGGAAUAUUGCACAAUGGGCGCAAGCCUGAUGCAGCCACGCCGCGUGUGUGAGGAAGGCCUUCGGGUUGUAAAGCACUUUCAGCGAGGAGGCGUUACUCGCAGAGGAAGCACCGGCUAACUCCGUGCCAGCAGCCGCGGUAAUUC